UACGUAGGGUGCGAGCGUUAAUCGGAAUUACUGGGCGUAAAGCGUGCGCAGGCGGUUUGUGAUGUCUGAUGUGAAAGCCCCGGGCUCAACCUGGGAACUGCAUUGGAAACUAGCGGGCUGGAGUGUGGCAGAGGGGGGUGGAAUUCCACGUGUAGCAGUGAAAUGCGUAGAGAUGUGGAGGAACACCGAUGGCGAAGGCAGCCCCCUGGGCUAACACUGACGCUCAUGCACGAAAGCGUGGGGAGCAAACAGG
rnacentral:rRNA from 1 species